GCUUAUGAACUGUUUCGAAACUGUGAAAGUGCACAAAUGAGGAAGAAUGAAAUAAAGUCACUGGUCCUUAUUUCUUCCCAAUAAUCUACUGAAAAGUCUCGGUACAUAACUAAGCGCCAUUUUACUGAGACUAUAUUUCAUUCUAUCUCACUUUGUUUCAUUUAAUUUCAUCCCAAUUGAUUAAAGUCUCAAAUUAAACAACGUCGUCUCAUUUUGCUUCAUAUUUCUGGUACAAUGGAGAAAUUAGAAGAUUUGGCUUAAAGGUCUCAUUACCAGGUCACAUAAUCUCAAUCCAAAAAAAAACUCACUCCAAGAGCCAGCGUUGCCAACUCGAAAUUCGUCAAGGUGGGAGAUAGGGUUCUACAAGUUGGUAGUUUCCAACAAACACUACUAUGAAAAGUUGGUAGAUCUACCGAAAAGUUGGUAGAGUUGGCAACGCUGCCAAGAGCACUGGGUUUCUUUGUUUUGUUAUUCCGUUAUUCAUAUGGAGGAUAGAGGUAAGGAGACCCGUCUCUGUGUGUGAAAAAGUGUCUGUUAAAAUCUCCUAAAUAAGGGUGGCGCUACAGUAGCAACCAGGUAAAUUGUUGAAAAGGCCCUGAAAGCAACGAAUAAAUAAUUAUUUAAACGUAGCCUGAAAGUUAUUAGACUGAUAGAGAAAUAAAAAAGGACGAAAGAACUUCCGUCUCGUUAUGGCGCACUUUUCAAAAUAAGCAUAAAAUGAAAACCGAAGUUUUAUAAUUAUAUUUUGCUAGAAAAUGAGCUCUCCUUCCUCCUCCUUCAGUCGAUCACUCAUUGCUGAGCAUCAUGAUGCGCCCGCCUGUGUGCUUUUUUUGUAAUUUGUAACUACUUUAGUCGGUCAGUGGCACAGUGAAGUGCUUGGCUCAGUCUCAUGUCCAGACACUCGGAAAAUAAAGCACGCAUCACAAUAUUAAUAAUUUUUUUCUUAAUAUAAUAUAAUAAAAUAUAUUUCAAUAAU